UACGUAGGCAGCGAGCGUUGUUCGGAGUUACUGGGCGUAAAGGGCGCGUAGGCGGCCUGCUAAGUCGGACGUGAAAUCCCUCGGCUCAACCGGGGAACUGCGUCCGAUACUGGUGGGCUCGAAUCCGGGAGAGGGAUGUGGAAUUCCAGGUGUAGCGGUGAAAUGCGUAGAUAUCUGGAGGAACACCGGUGGCGAAGGCGGCAUCCUGGACCGGUAUUGACGCUGAUGCGCGAAAGCCAGGGGAGCAAACGGG
rnacentral:rRNA from 1 species